GUAGUCAUAUGCUUGUCUCAAAGAUUAAGCCAUGCAUGUCUAAGUAUAAGCAAUUAUACAGCGAAACUGCGAAUGGCUCAUUAAAUCAGUUAUCGUUUAUUUGAUAGUACCUUACUACAUGGAUAACCGUGGUAAUUCUAGAGCUAAUACAUGCUAAAAAUCCCGACUUCGGAAGGGAUGUGUUUAUUAGAUUAAAAACCAAUGCCCCUCGGGGCUCCUUGGUGAUUCAUAAUAACCUCUCGAAUCGCACGGCCUUGCGCCGGCGAUGGUUCAUUCAAAUUUCUGCCCUAUCAACUUUCGACGGCUGGGUCUUGGCCAGCCGUGGUGACAACGGGUAACGGGGAAU
rnacentral:rRNA from 1 species